rnacentral:lncRNA from 1 species
CACAAGUCCAAGGGUUACGUAGUUGGCCAAAUUGGUCGGUAGGUGUUGUUUCGAUCGCGAAGAGGGACGCCACCCCUCGUGAUUCGUCGUUGCUUGUCUUUUGUUGUUACUACUCGACAGGGCGCUUUGUUGAGAGCCGCGCGUGAUUACGGACCGAUCGUGCAGCUUCGAAGUGAUCAUUUUGUCCGAGUUUUUUCAUCUCUGGUUUUCAUUCGAGACAUUAUGUAAAUCGAAUUGUUUUGUUCGUGAGAUUUGUCAUUUUCCGGCGUAGAUCGAGAUCGCGUGUUUGCAUGUGUUGUGUGAACACUACAUAGAAAGAGAAAGAGAGAAAGAGAGAAAGAAAGAGAAGAAGAUUAAAAGAGUAUUGGAAAUCCACAGGACUUUAGCGGGUUUCAUCGUUGACGCUUUUCUAUCCGUUUAAUCGACCUUUGACAAAUGUAAUACAUUGACACUCAUUCGUCUAUUGAAAAUCGAAUCUUUCUACAAUCAGUAUAAAAAUGUAAUAUCGUAAACCUUAUUCGUAAUUGUUUUUUCGAUCGAUUUUUGGCGCCUUUUUUAAGUUACAAAGUUAAAUAAGUGUAUAGAUUACGGUUGAUUAUACUAAAAAUUAUAGUGACAUUACGAAGAGAUAACUAUGAAGAUUAUUUCUUAUAAUAAAAACAGAAUUUAUUUCGUUUAGUGUAUAGUGAAAGUUUAUCUUCAAAUCGUUCGAAAAUGCCACGUAAAAAAUUGACGAUCUUCGCAGAUUUUUGGUGCGUCGAUCCUAAUGCGCGCGAAAAUUUGAAAAGAAAUUAUCUUUGUUAAAUAUUUUGCGUAGUUUAUAACUGGUCUAUUAAUUUUUUUAGUCGGGGAAAUUAGUUCAUUGUUGUGUUACGUUGAAGAACUUUUAAUUAUAGACUUUCGCGAAUGUGUUUGUGUGCACUUGUGUAUAGACAAAUGAUUCAGACGUUGAAGUGCUUUAGAGAAAAAUAAAAAAAAUAUAUACUAGUUUUUGCUUAUGAGGAAAGAAAGAAGCAAUGUACGUGAUGCUUGCAUGAUUAGCGAAGAAAAAUGAUAUCUGAAGAAAAAGAAGAAAGGAUAUUGAAUAUCGAAUAAGCUAGAAA